rnacentral:rRNA from 1 species
GAACGUGCCCUUCUCUAUGGAAUAGCCACUGGGGACGGUGAGUAAUACCAUAUACGCCCUUCGGGGGAAAGAUUUAUCGGAGAAGGAUCGGCCCGCGUUAGAUUAGGUAGUUGGUGGGGUAAUGGCCUACCAAGCCUACGACCUAUAGCUGGUUUUAGAGGAUGAUCAGCCACACUGGGACUGAGACACGGCCCAGACUCCUACGGGAGGCAGCAGUGGGGAAUCUUAGACAAUGGGCGCAAGCCUGAUCUAGCCAUGCCGCGUGAGUGAUGAAGGCCUUAGGGUCGUAAAGCUCUUUCGCCAGAGAUGAUAAUGACAGUAUCUGGUAAAGAAACCCCGGCUAACUCCGUGCCAGCAGCCGCGGUAAUACGGAGGGGGUUAGCGUUGUUCGGAAUUACUGGGCGUAAAGCGCACGUAGGCGGAUUAGAAAGUUGGGGGUGAAAUCCCGGGGCUCAACCUCGGAACGGCCUCCAAAACUCCUAGUCUAGAGUUCGAGAGAGGUGAGUGGAAUUCCAAGCGUAGAGGUGAAAUUCGUAGAUAUUUGGAGGAACACCAGUGGCGAAGGCGGCUCACUGGCUCGAUACUGACGCUGAGGUGCGAAAGUGUGGGGAGCAAACAGGAUUAGAUACCCUGGUAG